UGUGUUUACUUCUUCUUCUUUAUUCUGUGUUUAUACAACAUUAUAUGAAGGCACAAAUGUUACUUGUCUCUUGCACAACACAGCAAAAGAAACUUUUAUUGAGGAAACAAUGAGUCAAUGACCCAUAUUUGGCUAGUGAUGAACAAUAGUUUCCUAGGGUCAAUGUCUUUCAACAGUAGCUGUUAAAUAGCAUUUGGAUAUGUGUCAUUCAAGAAAUUGACUUUUGUUGGCUGGCUUUUAUUAUUAUCUUUUGAAUCAUAAGCUAAUAUCUAUCAGUUGUGUGGCCCACUGUCUAAUCUUCAGCAAAUGAAUUAGCUGUGAUCCUUUGUUAGAUCUAGAUAUUCAUUGGAGUUUCAGCUUCGCUCCUUUAACAUGAUUGAAGGCGGUCUUUAGAAAAUGUGAUAGGUGGGGUUGUGGACAAUGCUUGAGUAUGUGAAGCUGGCUUGAAAGCAGUUCAAUCUGGACUUGCAUAGGUACAGUGAUUCAACUGUUGUCUUGAACUACUUCAUCUGAACUCUACUGCUUCUUCUGCCAACAAGAUUAUGCAUAUCUUUUGUCCUUUCCUGUGGAACUGUUCCUAGUGGUCAUUGUUGUGCAGGCUGAAGAGGAUGAGAGUUAUAUCUUUAUAUCAUCAAUGCUCAGCUUAUUGGCUUAGUAUGGUGUACGGCCACAUGCAAUAAAUGCUUCUGCUAUUGCUAAUAGUGCAAAGGGGAUUUGGAUUGGAAUGUUGUUCGGCACGGUUGUUCAUACUCUUGUACUAUCUUACCUUACAUGGAGAACUGACUGGGACAAUCAGACAGGCACAACAACACAGGUACUAAUCAAUUUCAAUUUCAAAGGCGACCAUCCAUUGAUCCCAACCCUCGGAAGUGAAAAAAAGCCACAAUGGUAAAGUCUAAUCAACGGUUGAUAAUGCUUGAAUUCCAAAGAUAAACGAGGUACUAUGCAAUGCUCAGGUGUAGAUAUUAUAAGUCAAUUAUUACUAAUAGUAGAUAUUAUAAGUCAAUUAUCUUCUCUCACUAUCUAGGAUUUUGCUUUUUUCUAUCAAGGAAAGAAAUCAAUGGGCAUUUUUGUAAUCGAAGUUGAUUGUUCUGACAUUUUUUUUUAGCAACUUUUACCAAGUAUGGCUAAGAACUGUUAUUAGCUUCAGUCCAAAUUACAAUUGGUAUUGAUGAACUGCAUUAUAACUCUUAUUCUUUGAUUUCACAAGCUAGAUUCUGUCAACAAAAAGGUGCAGUUUAAUCCACAGCCACAGACUGACUUCAGGAAAAAGCACAUACAAGCAAAACCACGCCCUCAUCCUUCAGGGUGAGUUUCAGACUGAAAACUGAUACAAAUCUCUUUGAGAUUGCAAAGUCCGAGGAAGCUUCAAAAUCUCCAAAAAAGGAUUGAUUGGGUUGGGAUGAAUGCUUGGGCCCCACUUUGUAAUUCUUAUUUAAUGGAUUUUUUAGAAAUUUCUUCAAAUUUGUAAUUUUGGUUUUGGUGUUGGGAUGGUCAUUUGCUGCUUUCUUUUCUUUUUUUAUAUUUUGUAAAUAGAGUAAUCUUACCGUUGAGGUUUAGAUGUAUGUGCUUCAGCAAAAGGAUGCAAUAGAUGUUAUCAUUGGAUCUCCAUCAAUGAAGUUUCUCUAGGUUUUUUUUUAAAA